ensembl:lncRNA
CCUGGGAUAUGGAUGCCUGAUAAAGACAUAAGGGACAAAACGUUGUUAUAAAUAUCACCUGGGAGCAUGAGCAGCAGUGUGUUGAGUUUUCCUUUUGCAUAUGGUUGUAACCCACUAUUAUUUUGGGCUGAGUCCUUCAAUGAUUUCCGUUGAGAAUCGUUUAUACCUAUUGCCACUAGCCCUCCCCUUAACAACACUCGAAGAAGACGUCUGUGACAACCCUAAUAAUUUCUCCUCCUGUCUCCUCUUUCUUUGUUCUGUUAGACAGAUCGAAAUUCACCCAGGCUCAAACAUUACAGUGGGCGACCAUGCAAACAGGCCAACAGUUCCACUGCGAUGGCAAGAGAGCUGUGGUUUUGAUGUUGACAUGUUGCUGAAUAACAACCUGAAAUGUGGCAAAACUAAAAGGGGAGAAGAUGGGGAGAAAAAGACAGAUCCUGAAAAAAAUGCUGGCAAGAGUGCUUCCCGGGUGUAACAAAGGGACAAGUGGGAAAGGCUUUCAACAGUAAAAUGGCUGAAUUAAGAAGUGAUGAGAGAAAAACAUUUAAUGAAUAGGAUGAAAUUAAGUUUUUAUUGUUUUGUGUUUGUUCUAAUGUUUUAUUACCAUGGCUACAAGUACUAUGACUUCAAGUAUCACUGAAAUAAUGCAGGUAUUGUGACAUAAGGGACAUAUACAGUGUCUUCAGAAAGUAUUCACACCCCUUGACUUUUGUGGGAUUAAAAUGGAUUUAAUUGUCAUUUUUUUGUCAACGAUCUACAACAUUUGUAAAAAAAAUAAUGAUAAAAAAAAGUGAAAAAUAAACAAAUAUCUUGAUUAGAUAA